rnacentral:rRNA from 1 species
AUUGAACGCUGGCGGCAGGCCUAACACAUGCAAGUCGAGCGAGCGGCGGACGGGGGAGAAAUGUCUGGGAAACUGCCUGAUGGAGGGGGAUAAAUCCUGGAAACGGUAGCUAAUACCGCAUACCAUCAGAUGUGCCCAGAUGGGAUUAGCUAGUAGGUGGGGUAAAGGCUCACCAAGGCGACGAUCCCUAGCUGGUCUGAGAGGAUGACCAGCCACACUGGAACUGAGACACGGUCCAGACUCCUACGUGAGGCAGCAGUGGGGAAUAUUGCACAAUGGGCGCAAGCCUGAUGCAGCCAUGCCGCGUGUAUGAAGAAGGCCUUCGGGUUGUAAAGUACUUUCAGCGGGGAGGCGUUACCCGCAGAAGAAGCACCGGCUAACUCCGUGCCAGCAGCCGCGGUAAUAC